CCGAACGAAGGUGAGGCGGGGUAGAGCGCUUGCUUCGGGAGCAAGAGGCCGCAGAUUCGAAUUCUGUCGCCCCGACCA
rnacentral:tRNA from 1 species